rnacentral:rRNA from 1 species
UACGAAGGGGGCUAGCGUUGUUCGGAAUUACUGGGCGUAAGGCGUGCGCAGGCGGCCUUCCAAGUCAGGGGUGAAAGCCCAGAGCUCAACUCUGGAAUUGCCUUUGAGACUGUGAGGCUUGAGUACGGGAGAGGUGAGUGGAAUUCCCAGUGUAGAGGUGAAAUUCGUAGAUAUUCGGAAGAACACCAGUGGCGAAGGCGACUUACUGGACACAUAUUGACGCUGAGGUGCGAAAGCGUGGGGAGCAAACAGG